rnacentral:misc_RNA from 1 species
GAUGAAGAACGCAGUGAAAUGCGAUAAGUAAUGCGAAUUGCAGAAUUUCCGUGAGUCAUCGAAUCUUUGAACGCACAUUGCGCCCACUGGUAUUCCGGUGGGCAUGCCUGUUCGAGCGUCAUUAUCCUCCCUCAAACCCCGGGUUUGGUGUUGGACCCAAGUUGUGUGAACAACUGGUCUCAAAGACAAUGACGGCGUCCGUGGGACCCUCGGUGCAACGAGCUUUUAGGAGCACGCAUCGAGUUGCAAGGACCUUCCGGGCCGGUCUCCUUUACCAUUUUACAAGGUUGACCUCGGAUCAGGUAGGAAUACCCGCUGAACUUAAGCAUAUCAAUAAGCGGAGG